rnacentral:rRNA from 1 species
GACGAACGCUGGCGGCGUGCUUAACACAUGCAAGUCGAACGGAAAGGCCCUGCUUUUGUGGGGUGCUCGAGUGGCGAACGGGUGAGUAACACGUGAGUAACCUGCCCUUGACUUUGGGAUAACUUCAGGAAACUGGGGCUAAUACCGGCUAGGAGCUCCUGCUGCAUGGUGGGGGUUGGAAAGUUUCGGCGGUUGGGGAUGGACUCGCGGCUUAUCAGCUUGUUGGUGGGGUAGUGGCUUACCAAGGCUUUGACGGGUAUCCGGCCUGAGAGGGUGACCGGCCACAUUGGGACUGAGAUACGGCCCAGAAUCAUACGGGAGGCAGCAGUGGGGAAUAUUGCACAAUGGGCGGAAGACUGAUGCAGCAACGCCGCGUGCGGGAUGACGGCCUUCGGGUUGUAAACCGCUUUCGCCUGUGACGAAGCGUGAGUGACGGUAAUGGGUAAAGAAGCACCGGCUAACUACGUG